ACGAUAUUCCGCUUCAUUAUUAAUAUGAAUGAAUGUUUG
rnacentral:ncRNA from 7 species